GGUGGAGGAGGCCACACAGGAGAAGCCUGCAGAGGAGGCCACAGAGAAACCGGCCGCCGAGGAGGCCACGGCCCCUGAGGAAGUCACUAAAUCUCAGCCUGAAAAGUGGGAUGAAGAGGCCCAAGAUGCUGCAGGCGAGGAAGAGAAAGAACAAGAAAAAGAGAAGGAUGCGGAAAACAAGGCGAAAAACUCCAAGGGGACCUAGAUGCAGCAGAGGCGAAGCCGAGAAAAUCCAGAUGCCUGUGGGAAUUUUAACACACAUGGUUGCAAAGUUGGUUACAUCAAAAGUGAUAUCCAGUGACAUCUAACUUUCAUGCAUGUAUUUGACAGUGUUCGUUCAAGUUAAAAAUAAAAGUUUGUUUUAAAUGAGUAAACUGAAA